rfam:Ordospora colligata OC4 contig_01, whole genome shotgun sequence.
GAAGAUGUGGCCGAGUGGUUAUGGCGCUGGUCUAGAAAACCAGUGGACUCUGUCCUCACAGGUUCGAGUCCUGUCAUCUUCG